rnacentral:lncRNA from 1 species
AUGACUCCCACUGUCCAUGCUUUUGGUUGCUGCAGAUGUGGCCCCUACAUGCCUUUGAGGAUCUGGGCUUGUGUGUCUGAAGGAAGGGAUGUGACCAGAGCGCAAGCAAUGGGACAACCUCGGAGACAGCUGAGGGUGGUGGAAGUGAUGGGAGUCUGCUACAAGAUGGGGGUCGACUGGUUUGGAGGUGGAUGUUCCUGGAACCGAGGUGUUUUAAGUAUUUUCUUCCAGAAAUUGCUAAAAGCCCGGAGCCCUGAUCCUGACUGUUCUUUGAAACACACACCUACCUAUCUGCGACUUGGAGGUAGCAGAGUCAAAGACCUUUUUUUCCUCCUCAGAACCACUGUUAAUGUGUACCACCACACUCAGUGGCAGUACACUGGAGAUGAUUUUGACUGAUUUGGAGUAAAAGUAUUUUCAUGAACAAUGUUAUUCCUUUCCUUUUUAAUUAAAAUUGCUUUGGAGACAAUUCUAACAUCCCACUGCAAUGUUGUCAAACUAAACAGCAUUGUUCAAGUGCAUCAGAAAAAUAAAGUGAAAUGGACUAGAAACCA